CCUACGGGCGGCUGCAGUGGGGAAUAUUGGACAAUGGGGGCAACCCUGAUCCAGCCAUGCCGCGUGUGUGAAGAAGGCCCUCGGGUUGUAAAGCACUUUCAGUGAGGAAGAACGCCUGGUGGUUAAUACCCAUCAGGAAAGACAUCACUCACAGAAGAAGCACCGGCUAACUCCGUGCCAGCAGCCGCGGUAAUACGGAGGGUGCGAGCGUUAAUCGGAAUUACUGGGCGUAAAGCGCGCGUAGGUGGCUUGAUAAGCCGGUUGUGAAAGCCCCGGGCUCAACCUGGGAACGGCAUCCGGAACUGUCAAGCUAGAGUGCAGGAGAGGAAGGUAGAAUUCCCGGUGUAGCGGUGAAAUGCGUAGAGAUCGGGAGGAAUACCAGUGGCGAAGGCGGCCUUCUGGACUGACAAUGACACUGAGGUGCGAAAGCGUGGGUAGCAAACAGGAUUAGAUACCCCGGUAGUC
rnacentral:rRNA from 1 species